rnacentral:rRNA from 1 species
CCUACGGGUGGCAGCAGUGGGGAAUAUUGCACAAUGGGGGAAACCCUGAUGCAGCGACGCCGCGUGAGUGAAGACGUAAUUCGUUAUGUAAAGCUCUAUCAGCAGGGAAGAAAAUGACGGUACCUGAGUAAGAAUCACCGGCUAAAUACGUGCCAGCAGCCGCGGUAAUACGGCGGAGGCAAGCGUUAUCCGGAUUUACUGGGUGUAAAGGGAGCGUAGACGGCAGGGCAAGUCUGGAGUGAAAGGCGGGGGCUCAACCCCCGGACUGCUCUGGAAACUGUACGGCUAGAGUGCAGGUGGGGUAAGUGGAAUUCCUAGUGUAGCGGGGAAAUGCGUAGAUAUUAGGAGGAACACCAGUGGCGAAGGCGGCUUACUGGACUGUAACUGACGUUGAGGCUCGAAAGCGUGGGGAGCAAACAGGAUUAGAUACCCCUGUAGUC